GACGAACGCUGGCGGCGUGCUUAACACAUGCAAGUCGAACGGAAAGGCCUGCUUUCCCUUGUGGAUUGCGGGUACUCGAGUGGCGAACGGGUGAGAAACACGUGAGUGAUCUGCCCCCAACUUGGGUAUAAGCCUGGGAAACUGGGUCUAAUUCCCGAUAGGACUGCAGGGUGGUGCCUGUGGUGGAAAACGAUUUUCUAGUGGUUGGGGAUGAACUCGCGGCCUAUCAGCUUGUUGGUGGGGUAAUGGCCUACCAAGGCGGCGACGGGUAGCCGGCCUGGGGGGGGGGUGCGGCAACAGGGGGCAUGAAUGCCGCCCAAGCUCCCUACGGGGGGAGCGAGGGGGGAAUAGUGAACAGGGGGGGGAGGCUGGAGGCGGCGACGCGGGGUGGGGGAGGACGGCCUUGGGUUGGUAAACUCCUGUCGCCGGAGAGGAACCCCCGUGGUUGGAGGGGUGGUGAGGGUGGUGGAAGAAGAAGCCCCGGCUAACUAGGUG
rnacentral:rRNA from 1 species